rnacentral:rRNA from 1 species
AGCGAACGCUGGCGGCAGGCCUAACACAUGCAAGUCGAACGAACCUUUCGGGGUUAGUGGCGGACGGGUGAGUAACACGUGGGAACGUGCCUUUAGGUUCGGAAUAACUCAGGGAAACUUGUGCUAAUACCGAAUGUGCCCUUCGGGGGAAAGAUUUAUCGCCUUUAGAGCGGCCCGCGUCUGAUUAGCUAGUUGGUUGAGGUAAUGGCUCACCAAGGCGACGAUCAGUAGCUGGUCUGAGAGGAUGAUCAGCCACAUUGGGACUGAGACACGGCCCAAACUCCUACGGGAGGCAGCAGUGGGGAAUCUUGCGCAAUGGGCGAAAGCCUGACGCACCCAUGCCGCGUGAAUGAUGAAGGUCUUAGGAUUGUAAAAUUCUUUCACCGGGGACGAUAAUGACGGUACCCGGAGAAGAAGCCCCGGCUAACUUCGUG